rnacentral:rRNA from 1 species
AUUGAACGCUGGCGGCAGGCCUAACACAUGCAAGUCGAACGAGUGGCGGACGGGUGAGGAAUGUCUGGGAAACUGCCUGAUGGAGGGGGAUAACUACUGGAAACGUUAGCUAAUACCGCAUACCAUCAGAUGUGCCCAGAUGGGAUUAGCUUGUGGGUGGGGUAACGGCUCACCAAGGCGACGAUCCCUAGCUGGUCUGAGAGGAUGACCCGCCACCGUGGAACUGGGACACGGCCCAGACUCCUACGGGAGGCAGCAUUGGGGAAUAUUGCACAAUGGGUGCAAGCCGGAUGCAGCCAUGCCGCGUGUAUGAAGAAGGCCUUCGGGUUGUAAAGUACGUUCAGCGGGGAGGCGGUACCCGCCGAAGAAGCACCGGCUAACUCCGUGCCAGCAGCCGCGGUAAUUC